GCCUAUAGCCAUGCCACCUUGAACAAGUCUGAUGUCUGAUCUCGGAAGCUAAGCAGGUUCGGACUUGGUUAGUACUUGGAUGGGAGACCACCUAAGAAGACCAGGUGCUGUAGGCA
rfam:Pteropus alecto contig83579, whole genome shotgun sequence.